GAUGAACGCUGGCGGCGUGCUUAACACAUGCAAGUCGAACGAUUAAAGCCCCUUCGGGGGUGUAUAGAGUGGCGAACGGGUGAGUAACACGUGGGCAACCUGCCCUGCGCUUCGGGAUAACUCAGGGAAACCUGAGCUAAUACCGGAUACUCCGCGAGGAUCGCAUGGUCCUUUCGGGAAAGUUCCGGCGGCGCAGGAUGGGCCCGCGGCCCAUUAGCUUGUUGGUGAGGUAACGGCUCACCAAGGCAACGAUGGGUAGCCGAGCUGAGAGGCUGAUCGGCCACACUGGGACUGAGACACGGCCCAGACUCCUACGGGUGGCAG
rnacentral:rRNA from 1 species